UCGGUUCACCGAGAAAUGGGAGUGGCGAACGGGUGAGUAACACGUGGGUAACCUACCCAUCAGCGGGGGAUAACACUUGGAAACAGGUGCUAAUACCGCAUAAUUCUUUUCUUCGCCUGGAGGAAAGAUGAAAGACGCUUUUGCGUCACUGAUGGAUGGACCCGCGCUGCAUUAGCUAGUUGGUGGGGUAACGGCUCACCAAGGCCACGAUGCAUAGCCGACCUGAGAGGGUGAUCGGCCACACUGGGACUGAGACACGGCCCAGACUCCUACGGGAGGCAGCAGUAGGGAAUCUUCGGCAAUGGACGGAAGUCUGACCGAGCAACGCCGCGUGAGUGAAGAAGGUUUUCGGAUCGUAAAACUCUGUUGUUAGAGAAGAAUAAGGAUGAGAGUAGAAUGUUCAUCCCUUGACGGUAUCUAACCAGAAAGCCACGGCUAACUACGUGCCAGCAGCCGCGGUAAUACGUAGGUGGCAAGCGUUGUCCGGAUUUAUUGGGCGUAAAGCGAGCGCAGGCGGUUUCUUAAGUCUGAUGUGAAAGCCCCCGGCUUAACCGGGGAGGGUCAUUGGAAACUGGGAGACUUGAGUGCAGAAGAGGAGAGUGGAAUUCCAUGUGUAGCGGUGAAAUGCGUAGAUAUAUGGAGGAACACCAGUGGCGAAGGCGACUCUCUGGUCUGUAACU
rnacentral:rRNA from 1 species